UCGGCUCCGGUUCACGCUGUCCGCGCCCGCGGCAGCGACCCGGCGGCC
rfam:Frankia sp. Cc1.17 contig_6, whole genome shotgun sequence.